rnacentral:rRNA from 1 species
UACAGGGGGUGCAAACGUUGCUCGGAAUCAUUGGGCGUAAAGCGCACGUAGGCGGAUAUGUCAGUCAGGGGUGAAAUCCCGGGGCUCAACCUCGGAACUGCCUUUGAUACAGCAUAUCUUGAGUCCGAUAGAGGUGGGUGGAAUUCCUAGUGUAGAGGUGAAAUUCGUAGAUAUUAGGAAGAACACCGGUGGCGAAGGCGGCCCACUGGAUCGGUACUGACGCUGAGGUGCGAAAGCGUGGGGAGCAAACAGG